GACGAACGCUGGCGGCGUGCCUAAUACAUGCAAGUAGAAGGAAGUGGGAACGGGUGAGUAACACGUGGGUGAUCUCCUUGCACUCUGGGAUAAGCUUGGGAAACUGGGUCUAAACCGGAUAGAUGCGCUCGCGGCCUAUCAGCUUGUUGGUGGGGUAAUGGCCUCCCAAGGCGCCGACGGGUAGCCCGCCUGGGAGGGUGUACGGCAACAUUGGGACUGGAAUACGGGCCAGGCUCCUACGGGGAGCAGCAGUGGGGAAACUUCGGAAAUGGGCGGAAGGCUGGCCGAGCAACGCCGGGGGAGUGAAGAAGGUUUUCGGAGCGUAAAGCUCUGUUGUUAGGGAAGCGGUAACUAACGAGAAAGGAACGGCUAACUACGUGCCAGCAGCCGCGGUAAUAC
rnacentral:rRNA from 1 species